GAUGAACGCUGGCGGCGUGCUUAACACAUGCAAGUCGAACGGAAAGGCUCCUGCUUGCAGGGGUACUCGAGUGGCGAACGGGUGAGUAACACGUGGGUGAUCUGCCCUGCACUUCGUGAUAAGCCUGGGAAACUGGGUCUAAUACCGGAUAGGACGAUGGUUUGGAUGCCAUUGUGGAAAGUUUUUGCGGUGUGGGAUGAGUUCGCGGCCUAUCAGCUUGUUGGUGGGGUAAUGGUCUACCAAGGCGUCGACGGGUAUCCGGCCUGAGAGGUUGUACGGCCACAUUGGGACUAAGGUACGGCCCAGACUCCUACGGGAGGCAGCAGUGGGGAAUAUUACACAAUGGGCGCGAGCCUGAUGCAGAGGUGCCGCGUGGGGGAUGAAGGCCUUCGGGUUGUAAACUCCUUUAGCUAGGGACGAAGCGCAAGUGACGGUACCUGGAGAAGAAGCACCGGCUAACUACGUG
rnacentral:rRNA from 1 species